ACGAAGGCAAUGAUGUUGAAAUUACCUAUUUUAUGAGGGAGAUUAGAUAAAUGAUCCCGAAGAAUGCAAAAACCAAUGGAUCCUGCUGAGCCUAUUG